GCAGGACUUCCGGUUGCAUGAGAGGUAGGGACUACCCCUACAUCCUCAUGCAAGUGGCUCACUCUAAGCCAAUCACAUGGAACAACCAAUGAGCGCUGACAUACACCGCAACCAUGGAAGUAUAAAUAACCAUAGAACCCACUUCUUGUUCUCAUUCACUUCUUCCAGAACAACAUCAAGUAAAGAUCUCAGCCUAUCCCUCCUAAAUACGACUACGGUUGAAUGGGAAUGCCGAAAUCCGCAAACUUACCGAUGACUUCGGCGCUGGCUUACAGCUGCGCUGGUGUCCACGCCGGCCUCGGGGAACAAUCCCUGGGACUAUCUCUGACAAUUGGCCUUAACCCAACUGGAACGAAAGCCCUACCCUAAGGCUUGAGCGGAGUCGUCUUCCAGCAACACAUGGGCAUCUCUGUGGACAGCUGCCAAAACCCACCAAGAUGAGUGUGAACGUCUGGGUGUCCGCUGACGGAGAUUGGAACUUGGCCAAGCCACACGGUGAUUGUCCAACGUGGGGACACAAAAUGGAGGGACCUGAGCCUGGAUGGUGGCAAUGUCUCAAAGGCUCACACGCAGGACGCUGUGAGAACCCAGACUUGUGAAGAGUGGCAGUGUCCUGGUUGAGGCUUCAGUGAGUAACGGCGUGGUUUGCCAGCCCUACUGGAUGCAAAGCUGUCUCCACAUGAAGAGCUCAUGAACACUUUCUUGCAAGAUUCAGAAAGUUCUUCAAGGGCCCAGCAGAGUACAGUGAAGACCUUGAGAUACCUGUGGAAAUGGAUGCAGAGAACCACAUAUUGAUUAAAAAAUAAAUCAACUUUCCACAA